rnacentral:rRNA from 1 species
UACGUAGGGGGCUAGCGUUAUCCGGAAUUACUGGGCGUAAAGGGUGCGUAGGUGGUUUCUUAAGUCAGAGGUGAAAGGCUACGGCUCAACCGUAGUAAGCCUUUGAAGCUGGGGAACUUGAGUGCAGGAGAGGAGAGUGGAAUUCCUAGUGUAGCGGUGAAAUGCGUAGAUAUUAGGAGGAACACCAGUUGCGAAGGCGGCUCUCUGGACUGUAACUGACACUGAGGCACGAAAGCGUGGGGAGCAAACAGG